UACGAGUUUGAUCAUGGCUCAGACAACGCUGGCGGCAUGCCUAACACAUGCAAGUCGAGCGGGUUUUCGGACCUAGCGGCGGACGGGUGAGUAAUGCGUAGGAAGCUACCCGAUAGAGGGGGGAUACCAGUUGGAAACGACUGUUAAUACCGCAUAAUGUCUACGGACCAAAGUNUUGGGGACCUUCGGGCCACAUGCUAUCGGAUGCGCCUACGUGGGAUUAGCUAGUUGGUGAGGUAAUGGCUCACCAAGGCGACGAUCUCUAGCNGGUUUGAGAGGAUGAUCAGCCACACUGGAACUGAGACACGGUCCAGACUCCUACGGGAGGCAGCAUGGGAAUUUUGGACAAUGGACCGCAAGUCUGAUCCAGCCAUUCCGCGUGCAGGAUGAAGGCCCUCGGGUUGUAAACUGCUUUUGUACGGAACGAAAAGGUUUCUAUUAAUACUAGGAGCUCAUGACGGUACCGUAAGAAUAAGCACCGGCUAACUACGUG
rnacentral:rRNA from 1 species